rnacentral:rRNA from 2 species
ACGGAGGAUGCGAGCGUUAUCCGGAUUUAUUGGGUUUAAAGGGUGCGUAGGCGGCACGCCAAGUCAGCGGUGAAAUUUCCGGGCUCAACCCGGACUGUGCCGUUGAAACUGGCGAGCUAGAGUGCACAAGAGGCAGGCGGAAUGCGUGGUGUAGCGGUGAAAUGCAUAGAUAUCACGCAGAACCCCGAUUGCGAAGGCAGCCUGCUAGGGUGCGACAGACGCUGAGGCACGAAAGCGUGGGUAUCGAACAG